AGACCCGAAACCCGGUGAUCUAGCCAUGGGCAGGUUGAAGGUUGGGUAACACUAACUGGAGGACCGAACCGACUAAUGUUGAAAAAUUAGCGGAUGACCUGUGGCUGGGGGUGAAAGGCCAAUCAAACCGGGAGAUAGCUGGUUCUCCCCGAAAGCUAUUUAGGUAGCGCCUCGUGAAUUCAUCUCCGGGGGUAGAGCACUGUUUCGGCUAGGGGGCCAUCCCGGCUUACCAACCCGAUGCAAACUGCGAAUACCGGAGAAUGUUAUCACGGGAGACACACGGCGGGUGCUAACGUCCGUCGUGAAGAGGGAAACAACCCAGACCGCCAGCUAAGGUCCCAAAGUCAUGGUUAAGUGGGAAACGAUGUGGGAAGGCCCAGACAGCCAGGAUGUUGGCUUAGAAGCAGCCAUCAUUUAAAGAAAGCGUAAUAGCUCACUGGUCGAGUCGGCCUGCGCGGAAGAUGUAACGGGGCUAAACCAUGCACCGAAGCUGCGGCAGCGAACGUAUCACUUAAAGCGAUUCAGCGGGUUACGAUUGACGGAGCGAAGCGACGUCAAAGCGUAUACAAAGUCGAGUCGGUUUAAGGAUACGUUCGUUGGGUAGGGGAGCGUUCUGUAAGCCUGUGAAGGUGUGUCGUGAGGCAUGCUGGAGGUAUCAGAAGUGCGAAUGCUGACAUAAGUAACGAUAAAGCGGGUGAAAAGCCCGCUCGCCGGAAGACCAAGGGUUCCUGUCCAACGUUAAUCGGGGCAGGGUGAGUCGACCCCUAAGGCGAGGCCGAAAGGCGUAGUCGAUGGGAAACGGGUUAAUAUUCCCGUACUUGGUGUUACUGCGAAGGGGGGACGGAGAAGGCUAUGUUGGCCGGGCGACGGUUGUCCCGGUUUAAGCGUGUAGGUGUGUGUUCCAGGUAAAUCCGGUUCACUUUAACACUGAGGCGUGAUGACGAGGCACUACGGUGCUGAAGCAACAAAUGCCCUGCUUCCAGGAAAAGCCUCUAAGCAUCAGGUAACAUCAAAUCGUACCCCAAACCGACACAGGUGGUCAGGUAGAGAAUACCAAGGCGCUUGAGAGAACUCGGGUGAAGGAACUAGGCAAAAUGGUGCCGUAACUUCGGGAGAAGGCACGCUGACACGUAGGUGAAGUGAUUUACUCAUGGAGCUGAAGUCAGUCGAAGAUACCAGCUGGCUGCAACUGUUUAUUAAAAACACAGCACUGUGCAAACACGAAAGUGGACGUAUACGGUGUGACGCCUGCCCGGUGCCGGAAGGUUAAUUGAUGGGGUCAGCGCAAGCGAAGCUCCUGAUCGAAGCCCCGGUAAACGGCGGCCGUAACUAUAACGGUCCUAAGGUAGCGAAAUUCCUUGUCGGGUAAGUUCCGACCUGCACGAAUGGCGUAAUGAUGGCCAGGCUGUCUCCACCCGAGACUCAGUGAAAUUGAACUCGCUGUGAAGAUGCAGUGUACCCGCGGCAAGACGGAAAGACCCCGUGAACCUUUACUAUAGCUUGACACUGAACAUUGAGCCUUGAUGUGUAG
rnacentral:rRNA from 2 species